AGCGGACGCUGGCGGCAGGCCUAACACAUGCAAGUCGAACGAAGUCUUCGGACUUAGUGGCGGACGGGUGAGUAACACGUGGGAACGUACCUUUUGGUUCGGAACAACUCAGGGAAACUUGAGCUAAUACCGGAUGAGCCCUUAGGGGGAAAGAUUUAUCGCCGAAAGAGCGGCCCGCGUUAGAUUAGCUAGUUGGUGAGGUAAAGGCUCACCAAGGCUACGAUCUAUAGCUGGUCUGAGAGGAUGAUCAGCCACACUGGGACUGAGACACUGCCCGGGCUCCUACGGUAGGCUGCAGUGGGGAAUCUUGCGCAAUGGGCGAAAGCUUGACGCAGCCAUGCCGCGUGAAUGAUGAAGGUCUUAGGAUUGUAAAAUUCUUUUACCAGGGACGAUAAUGACGGUACCUGGAGAAAAAGCCCCGGCUAACUUCGUGCCAGCCGCCGCAGUAAAAC
rnacentral:rRNA from 1 species